rnacentral:other from 1 species
UUUUCCCUGCGGUGUUGGUGUUGAACGAACUGUUUUGAGCCUACAAGCACAAUAUCGGGAAUCUUAGUUCCUUGUAACUUCGGUUGCAAGGACGGGAUACCCACUUAGGAAAAAGUGCUUCAAACUUUUUGUUCUCACGGCAUUGCGGGGAUUUU